UACGUAGGGUGCAAGCGUUAAUCGGAAUUACUGGGCGUAAAGCGAGCGCAGGCGGUUAUUUAAGUCAGGUGUGAAAGCCCCGAGCUCAACUUGGGACGUGCAUUUGAAACUGGAUAACUAGAGUGUGUCAGAGGGGGGUAGAAUUCCACGUGUAGCAGUGAAAUGCGUAGAGAUGUGGAGGAAUACCGAUGGCGAAGGCAGCCCCCUGGGCCUGUACUGACGCUCAUGCACGAAAGCGUGGGGAGCAAACAGG
rnacentral:rRNA from 1 species